rnacentral:rRNA from 1 species
UACGUAGGGGGCUAGCGUUGUCCGGAAUCAUUGGGCGUAAAGAGCGUGUAGGCGGCCCGGUAAGUCCGCUGUAAAAGUCAAAGGCUCAACCUUUGAAUGUCAGUGGAUACUGCCGGGCUAGAGUCCGGAAGAGGCGAGUGGAACUCCUGGUGUAGCGGUGGGAUGCGCAGAUAUCAGGAAGAACACCAACGGCGAAGGCAGCUCGCUGGGACGGUACUGACGCUGAGACGCGAAAGCGUGGGGAGCGAACAGG